rnacentral:tRNA from 1 species
GUGGCUUAGUGGCAAGAGCCUGGUCUUGGGAAUCAGAGGACAUGGGUUCUAAUCCCAAC